rnacentral:rRNA from 1 species
UACGUAGGGGGCAAGCGUUGUCCGGAAUUACUGGGCGUAAAGAGCUCGUAGGUGGUUUGUCGCGUUGUCCGUGAAAACUCACAGCUCAACUGUGGGCGUGCGGGCGAUACGGGCAGACUGGAGUACUGCAGGGGGAGACUGGAAUUCCUGGUGUAGCGGUGGAAUGCGCAGAUAUCAGGAGGAACACCGGUGGCGAAGGCGGGUCUCUGGGCAGUAACUGACGCUGAGGAGCGAAAGCGUGGGGAGCGAACAGG